CGAACGGGGAUUACACGGUGAUGCGAUUUCGGUCAAAUCAAGUGCAAUCUUAGUGGCGGACGGGUGAGUAACGCGUGGGUAACCUGCCUUGCACUGGGGGAUAACACUUAGAAAUAGGUGCUAAUACCGCAUAAGCGCACGGUCCUGCAUGGGACAGUGUGAAAAACUCCGGUGGUGCAAGAUGGACCCGCGUCUGAUUAGCUGGUUGGCGGGGUAAAGGCCCACCAAGGCGACGAUCAGUAGCCGGCCUGAGAGGGUGGACGGCCACAUUGGGACUGAGACACGGCCCAAACUCCUACGGGAGGCAGCAGUGGGGGAUAUUGGACAAUGGGGGGAACCCUGAUCCAGCGACGCCGCGUGAGUGAAGAAGUAUUUCGGUAUGUAAAGCUCUGUCAGCAGGGAAGAAAGCAAUGACGGUACCUGACCAAGAAGCCCCGGCUAACUACGUGCCAGCAGCCGCGGUAAUACGUAGGGGGCAAGCGUUAUCCGGAAUUACUGGGUGUAAAGGGAGCGUAGACGGCUGUGCAAGUCUGGAGUGAAAGGCGGGGGCCCAACCCCCGGACUGCUCUGGAAACUGUAUGGCUGGAGUGCAGGAGAGGUAAGCGGAAUUCCUAGUGUAGCGGUGAAAUGCGUAGAUAUUAGGAGGAACACCAGUGGCGAAGGCGGCUUACUGGACUGUAACUGACGUUGAGGCUCGAAAGCGUGGGG
rnacentral:rRNA from 1 species